UACAGAGGUCUCAAGCGUUGUUCGGAUUCAUUGGGCGUAAAGGGUGCGUAGGUGGCGCGGUAAGUCGGGUGUGAAAUCUCGGAGUUUAACUCCGAAAUUGCAUUCGAUACUGCCGUGCUCGAGGACUGGAGAGGAGACUGGAAUUCAUGGUGUAGCAGUGAAAUGCGUAGAGAUCAUGAGGAAGACCAGUGGCGAAGGCGGGUCUCUGGACAGUUCCUGACACUGGAGGCACGACGGCCAGGGGAGCAAACGGG
rnacentral:rRNA from 1 species